rnacentral:rRNA from 1 species
AUAGUUUUGAACUGGCUCAGAUUGAACGCUGGCGGCAGGCCUAACACAUGCAAGUCGAGCGGUAGCACAGAGAGCUUGCUCUCGGGUGACGAGCGGCGGACGGGUGAGUAAUGUCUGGGAAACUGCCUGAUGGAGGGGGAUAACUACUGGAAACGGUAGCUAAUACCGCAUAAUGUCGCAAGACCAAAGUGGGGGACCUUCGGGCCUCAUGCCAUCAGAUGUGCCCAGAUGGGAUUAGCUAGUAGGUGGGGUAACGGCUCACCUAGGCGACGAUCCCUAGCUGGUCUGAGAGGAUGACCAGCCACACUGGAACUGAGACACGGUCCAGACUCCUACGGGAGGCAGCAGUGGGGAAUAUUGCACAAUGGGCGCAAGCCUGAUGCAGCCAUGCCGCGUGUGUGAAGAAGGCCUUCGGGUUGUAAAGCACUUUCAGCGGGGAGGAAGGCGUUAAGGUUAAUAACCUUGGCGAUUGACGUUACCCGCAGAAGAAGCACCGGCUAACUCCGUGCCAGCAGCCGCGGUAAUACGGAGGGUGCAAGCGUUAAUCGGAAUUACUGGGCGUAAAGCGCACGCAGGCGGUCUGUCAAGUCGGAUGUGAAAUCCCCGGGCUCAACCUGGGAACUGCAUUCGAAACUGGCAGGCUAGAGUCUUGUAGAGGGGGGUAGAAUUCCAGGUGUAGCGGUGAAAUGCGUAGAGAUCUGGAGGAAUACCGGUGGCGAAGGCGGCCCCCUGGACAAAGACUGACGCUCAGGUGCGAAAGCGUGGGGAGCAAACAGGAUUAGAUACCCUGGUAGUCCACGCCGUAAACGAUGUCGAUUUGGAGGUUGUGCCCUUGAGGCGUGGCUUCCGGAGCUAACGCGUUAAAUCGACCGCCUGGGGAGUACGGCCGCAAGGUUAAAACUCAAAUGAAUUGACGGGGGCCCGCACAAGCGGUGGAGCAUGUGGUUUAAUUCGAUGCAACGCGAAGAACCUUACCUGGUCUUGACAUCCACAGAACUUUCCAGAGAUGGAUUGGUGCCUUCGGGAACUGUGAGACAGGUGCUGCAUGGCUGUCGUCAGCUCGUGUUGUGAAAUGUUGGGUUAAGUCCCGCAACGAGCGCAACCCUUAUCCUUUGUUGCCAGCGGUCCGGCCGGGAACUCAAAGGAGACUGCCAGUGAUAAACUGGAGGAAGGUGGGGAUGACGUCAAGUCAUCAUGGCCCUUACGACCAGGGCUACACACGUGCUACAAUGGCAUAUACAAAGAGAAGCGACCUCGCGAGAGCAAGCGGACCUCAUAAAGUAUGUCGUAGUCCGGAUUGGAGUCUGCAACUCGACUCCAUGAAGUCGGAAUCGCUAGUAAUCGUAGAUCAGAAUGCUACGGUGAAUACGUUCCCGGGCCUUGUACACACCGCCCGUCACACCAUGGGAGUGGGUUGCAAAAGAAGUAGGUAGCUUAACCUUCGGGAG